rnacentral:rRNA from 1 species
CUACGGAAGGUCCGGGCGUUAUCCGGAUUUAUUGGGUUUAAAGUGAGCGCAGGCGGAGAUGCAAGCGUGACGACAAAUUUCGGGGCUCAACCCCGUCUCGCGUCGCGAACUGCGUCCCUUGGUUGCGGGAAGGGGAGGCGGAACUUGGGGGGUAGGGGUGAAAUGCAUAGAUAUCACGAAGAACUCCGAUCGCGAAGGCAGCCUUCCGGCCCGUCAACGACGCUCAUGCUCGAAGGUGCGGGUAUCAAACAGGAUUAGAUACCCUGGUAGUCCGCACAGUAAACGAUGGACACCCGCGGUUUGGCCUGUAUGGCUGAGCCGCCAAGCGAAAGCGUUAAGUGUCCCACCUGGGGAGUACGCCGGCAACGGUGAAACUCAAAUGAAUUGACGGGG